UACGUAGGGGGCUAGCGUUGUCCGGAUUUAUUGGGCGUAAAGCGCGUGUAGGCGGCCCGGUAAGUCCGCUGUGAAAGUCGGGGGCUCAACCCUCGAAUGCCGGUGGAUACUGUCGGGCUAGAGUGCGGAAGAGGCGAGUGGAAUUCCUGGUGUAGCGGUGAAAUGCGCAGAUAUCAGGAGGAACACCAAUUGCGAAGGCAGCUCGCUGGGACGUGACUGACGCUGAGACGCGAAAGCGUGGGGAGCAAACAGG
rnacentral:rRNA from 1 species